rnacentral:misc_RNA from 1 species
GUGCAAUGCGACAUCGUUUUUUUCCUUUGAAUCGCCGUUUUCAGCUAUCUUCAUAGUUUUGAUGUGGAAAUUGGCACUACCAUAAUAGUGCCUAUACUUUCCUCCUCUCUCUUUCUACACACGCUUUCUUCCGCUAGUCUUCCUUCCUCUUCCUACAGGCCUCCUCUUCCUUUCCACUGCUAUACCCUUCUGUUCCACUUCCUUUUUCAGAUGCUUGCUUUGCUUUUCUUAUUGGAUAAAUUACAUAGAUAUUAUAAACUUAAAUUUAUAAUAUAAAAACCCUUAAAUCUUUAUUACUUAAAAAACAUAAAUUUUAAGUCACAAAUUAUUUAAUUAGAUACCUAAGUUGAUAUUCUAUCUUUAUAAUUUACUCUUUCUUUUUUUGACCAUUGACUUCAAAAAGGCAGAUAUGCCUCCAGAGCUCGAACGGUGUGUCUGAAACGGAUUGACGCUGCAGUUGACUCCCUUCGCUUAAUGGUAGUGUGUCACAGGCAGGUGGGCUCGAAGUUGGGGUCCGCCCAGCCGCCGAAGUGUUCCGCACUGGCGUUUGAGGCUAUUAAGCCAAUAAAACUGAGCAAGCUCGAGUAUGAAGGAUAUAGCAGUGCUUAUAGUCUUGCACCAUAGGCGGUUGCUGGGCCUAGCGGACGGUCUUACAAGAUUCGUUGAGAUAUUCUGUGCAAGUGAAUGAAGAAUUCUGCAGGGCAUGUGAGGCAACUGGUGGCACUUGUGGGUAUGGAGUGAUGGGAUUAGGCAGUUGUGUAUGUGUGGGAAUUUCAAUUCUACAUCAAAUUGUGAUUUAGGUGCAUUUUCCUUUGGGUUUUCUUUUCCUUGGGGCAAAGCACAGGUCUUCCCUUUGGUUUCCAUAAAACAGAGCUGUGGUUCCUGGAGGCUUCCUAGAGCUUUGAGUGGACGUGGUAAAAUUAUCCCCUUAUUUCUGGAAAUUUUGGAAAGAUCGUGGCUAAAUGACUUUGCUGUUGCAGUAGUUGUUCUCCUUGGUCAGCUUGGGAGGCUUGGAGUUGCUGCUUGUGGUUACAAGGAUAAGGAAGUUGU